rnacentral:rRNA from 1 species
CUACGGGUGGCAGCAGUGGGGAAUAUUGCACAAUGGAGGAAACUCUGAUGCAGCAACGCCGCGUGGAGGAUGACGCAUUUCGGUGUGUAAACUCCUUUUAUAUGUCAAGAAAAUGACGGUAGCAUAUGAAUAAGCACCGGCUAACUCCGUGCCAGCAGCCGCGGUAAUACGGAGGGUGCAAGCGUUACUCGGAAUCACUGGGCGUAAAGGACGCGUAGGCGGGUUGGAAAGUCAGGUGUGAAAUCCUACAGCUUAACUGUAGAACUGCACUUGAAACUUCUAAUCUAGAGUAUGGGAGGGGGAGAUGGAAUUAGUGGUGUAGGGGUAAAAUCCGUAGAUAUCACUAGGAAUACCUAAAGCGAAGGCAAUCUCCUGGAACAUUACUGACGCUAAGGCGUGAAAGCGUGGAGAGCAAACAGGAUUAGAUACCCCCGUAGUC